rnacentral:rRNA from 1 species
GACGAACGCUGGCGGCGUGCUUAACACAUGCAAGUCGUACGGUAAGGCCCUUUCGGGGGUACACGAGUGGCGAACGGGUGAGUAACACGUGAGUAACCUGCCCACAACUUUGGGAUAACGCUAGGAAACUGGUGCUAAUACUGGAUAUGUGCUCCUGCUGCAUGGUGGGGGUUGGAAAGCUCCGGCGGUUGUGGAUGGACUCGCGGCCUAUCAGCUUGUUGGUGGGGUAGUGGCCUACCAAGGCGGCGACGGGUAGCCGGCCUGAGAGGGUGACCGGCCACAUUGGGACUGAGAUACGGCCCAGACUCCUACGGGAGGCAGCAGUGGGGAAUAGUGCACAAUGGGCGCAAGCCUGAUGCAGCAACGCCGCGUGCGGGAUGACGGCCUUCGGGUUGUAAACCGCUUUCAGCAGGGACGAAGCUUUUUGUGACGGUACCUGCAGAAGAAGCACCGGCUAACUACGU